rnacentral:sRNA from 1 species
UAAUGUAAAUCUCCAGUAAAAUUUUCGUUAGGGUUUAAAUUUCGUGGAUAAUUCUUAUCCAUGAAAUGAAUGAAAUUAAAUCCCCAACGUAAAUUUUACUGGAGAUUUACAUG